CAGCCGCCGCGGUAACACCGGCGGCCCGAGUGGUGAUCGUGAUUAUUGGGUCUAAAGGGUCCGUAGCCGGUUUGGUCAGUCCUCCGGGAAAUCUGAUGGCUCAACCAUUAGGCUUUCGGGGGAUACUGCCAGGCUUGGAACCGGGAGAGGUAAGAGGUACUACAGGGGUAGGAGUGAAAUCUUGUAAUCCCUGUGAGACCACCUGUGGCGAAGGCGUCUUACCAGAACGGGUUCGACGGUGAGGGACGAAAGCUGGGGGCACGAACCGGAUUAGAUACCCGGGUAGUCCCAGCCGUAAACGAUGCUCGCUAGGUGUCAGGCAUGGCGCGACCGUGUCUGGUGCCGCAGGGAAGCCGUGAAGCGAGCCACCUGGGAAGUACGGCCGCAAGGCUGAAACUUAAAGGAAUUGGCGGGGGAGCACAACAACGGGUGGAGCCUGCGGUUUAAUUGGACUCAACGCCGGACAACUCACCGGGGACGACAGCAAUAUGUAGGCCAGGCUGAAGACCUUGCCUGAAUCGCUGAGAGGUGGUGCAUGGCC
rnacentral:rRNA from 1 species